CAGAAACAUCAAGGAGAGUACUAGUGGGUUUUUUGACAAAUGGGAUAUAACUAGCUUAGUGACCUUGUCCCACCUCAUUUAUUUUAUGUUCUCUAUUAUUAGAACAAUUGUCCUUCGUAAGUGGUUUUCCCUACCUGUUUUCCAAAAACUAUCAGUGGAUCAUAUUUGCUAUGACAUUAAAUGUAACUGUGACUUGGCUUUUAAAGCCUUUCAAAAUCCAGCUCCACCAUGCCUUUCUGAAUUCACUCCCUAAAGCUCCAUAAUCCUGAGUAAAUUCUCAUUUCAAUUGGAAUCAUUUCCAUAAAUAUUCAUUGAGCACCUAGUUAAUCCCAGACACUGUGCUAUGUACUAGGAAUAAAUAAGAUAAAGUCCCUGCCCUAUAGGAGUUCAGGACAUAUCAGGAGAAUUAACACGAAUGUAGCUAUAAUAUAAUCAUAAUAAUAACAAUCAUUAACUUUAUUGAGCCCAUUCGUAUAGUCCAGGCACCGUUCUAAGCAUUUCAUAUCAAUGUCUUUAAUCCUCACAACAAACCUAUGAGGUGGUAUCAUCAAUAUUGUGAAGAGAGCUGUACUGGAAAUGGAACAAAGGCUACAGGAACAGAAAGGAUGCAAUUCAUUCAGCUUGGGGAUAUGGGAAAUGGUGUCACAGAGACAAUCUUGCUCUAUUCCUUAUUUAUGUAUACCCCUACCUCCUGGAAAGGAAUCAGGACAGCUCACACUGGGAAAGAUUCAGAGCAUACAUACAAAAGCCUUGAGACUGGAAAGAUUAUUUGGAAGUUGGGCAGAAGAGCAGGUCACAAAUAGACUAAGAAAGAGAAGCCAUGUUAACAGGAGGAAUACCAGAUAAGACAGAGGGCUUCCAGAUUUAUUGGUGUGAUAAAUGUAAAAACACUGUCACAGAGUCUGGGGAAGAAAGUCUUUCAAGAAGAAAGGAAUGGUCAAUCACGCAAAAAUACUGCUGAGAGGGGCGAAGCAAGGAGAAGAAAGAAAAAAUAUAUGAAUGCUGCCACACACAUCCAUGGUUUGUCAAUGCCCAGCCAUCCUUGGUGUGCAUUCUUAGUGAGUUUCUACUCCAAUUCUUCCUGAGUGAUUACAUUUUCAUCACAUUUCUGAAGGUUUUGCCACUUCUGCCAUCACAAUUUGAAGCUCACACGAUGCUGGGACAGGGACAUCACUGAAUUUUUCUGCAGCAAAUUGAAGACCAAAUGGGAAUUUCUGCCUCAAUCAGCAUCCAUUGGGAAUCAACUUGAUGUGAGGCGUUAUGCUA
rnacentral:lncRNA from 1 species